GUGGGGAAUCUUGCGCAAUGGGCGAAAGCCUGACGCAGCCAUGCCGCGUGGAUGAUGAAGGUCUUAGGAUUGUAAAAUCCUUUCACCGGUGAAGAUAAUGACUGUAGCCGGAGAAGAAGCCCCGGCUAACUUCGUGCCAGCAGCCGCGGUAAUACGAAGGGGGCUAGCGUUGCUCGGAUUUACUGGGCGUAAAGGGCGCGUAGGCGGACAUUUAAGUCAGGGGUGAAAUCCCGGGGCUCAACGUCGGAACUGCCUUUGGUACUGGGUGUCUUGAGUAUGAGAGAGGUGUGUGGAACUCCGAGUGUAGAGGUGAAAUUCGUAGAUAUUCGGAAGAACGCCAGUGGCGAAGGCGACACACUGGCUCAUUACUGACGCUGAGGCGCGAAAGCGUGGGGAGCAAACAGGAUUAGAAACCCGGGUAGUCC
rnacentral:rRNA from 1 species